GUGAUUCUCAUGACUGUGUCAUUGUCUCUUCAGAUUUUUUCACCUUUAAUAUUGGGAAAAGAGAGGAGGUAAAGGUUCAAUACCAAAACAAAAAAGAAAUGAAAGGGCAAUUGGUUGAACAAGAAAUCAUCUCAUACUUCAUGACUGAUCCCGCUGAGCAGCAGUAAGCACUGCAAAUGAGAUGGCCGAUUCUGAUGUGAGUGCACAGUAUCCCACAGACUAGAGGAUGAUGACUGACUGAUACAAGUUUGCAGCAGGAGGAUAUUUAUCCUACACAUAUAGUGACCUCCUCCAGAUUCCUAUUCACAGUGGAAUAAUCAGUUUCUUUCACUUUUUUUUUUUACACUGGGUCCUAACAGAAACUGAAAUGUCUGGACAGCCUAAAAGGAAUGAAUUUUUCCUGCUAAGCAACGAUGACAGCAGAUAUAAAUGCUCAUGUCCCUGUCAGCAUCUAAAAUCCUGCUUGCAACUGAGCAGGAUGACAGCACACCCCAGCCACGGCUUUUCCCAUAGAGCAUGGCCAAGCGACUGGAUGUGCCUUUGGGCAUCAAGAGCUGACUCCCUGUGCUUGACUUUGCAGUUCCAUAAGGAGGAUUUUUCUUCUGUUCACACACACAAUGUAAUCACUCCACUUGGCAAUGUAAGAAAAAUCUCAUUGCAUAAGCAUUCCAUCUCUGCUUACUGCAGUAGAAUCGGCAGAAGGGAAAGCAAGUGGAUCCAGUGGAUCAGAAAGGGAAAAAAAAGGUGGUGGUGGCAAGGAGCUGGAGUUCCCUGUGCUCAGAAAAGCUGAAGAAUGACACAGAUGGGGAUGAAGCUGAGCUGCGUGUCGGACAGGUACCUGCUCUCAAGUGAGAAAGGAUAUAGAUACGAACCUUCAAACACAGCUCAACAGAAGGAACUACUUUCAGAGAUACUUUCUGUCUCUCUCAUUUACUGAUUGCAAAUGGCAGGUCUGCAGUAGCAGCUAUAUUGCUUCAGCUGCUGUCGCAGUUCUCACCCUUUCCUAGCAGUAGCUAUUUCAUUUGUAUUGGUUUCAGUAUCUUUAAUUUCCAAGAUCGCUGCGUGUGAUAACAAGAGGAUACCUUGCAGUCUUGGGACAGUCAGGAUAUCUGUUGGUGGAAUUGUUUUGUUGGGUUUUUUCAUGUCCUGAAAGGCUGAUUCGGGAUGUGUUGGCCUUUAAAUAUAUUUAAAGCAAGAAAUUGCAUUUCAUCAGUAUUUCUUCUGCUCCCAUCAGAACCCCAGGUCUCACUCAGGCUCUUGCUUCCCAUAUAAGUCAUUAUAUUUUUAUUAACUAUUUUCUUGCUCAUUAAUAAAAUAUAUAUAUUUUACUUCUAAAUUAUGAGAACCACCAUCUUCUGUUAUGGGGUUGUCACUGUAGCCUUUGCUAUUCACUGCAGCCGUUUGGC
rnacentral:lncRNA from 1 species